rnacentral:tRNA from 1 species
GCCCAGGUGGCGGAAUUGGUAGACGCACUAGUUUCAGGUACUAGCGGGGGCAACUUCGUGGAGGUUCGAGUCCUCUCCUGGGCACCA